rnacentral:rRNA from 1 species
CACACCGCCCGUCACACCAUGGAAGCUGACUGUACCAGAAGUCGCUGGGCUAACCCGCAAGGGGGGCAGGCGCCUAAGGUAUGGUUGGUGACUGGGGUG